rnacentral:lncRNA from 1 species
CAAAUCAGCUGGUUUUCAAUUAAUCAAAAGGAGAUUAUCUUGGGCUUGACUUAAUCAGAGGAAAUCAAUUAAGAAGGAAAAGGAUCUGUCUGUUAGCUUGAUGGAUGAGGCUGCCUUGUGAGGAGCCCAGGGAAAUACUUUUUCUCCUUAACUCCCAGGGCAUCACUUUUUCCUCUGUUCUUUUCCUGUCUCCAGUCUCCUUUAGUGAACAUGCCUUACCCUCUUGCCCUCUGAUGUCAAAGCCCCCUGAUGCCUUUCUCUACACUAGGGGUGACCUCAUAAAGCCCAGCAGCUUUAACCAUUUCUAUACAGGUGAUUCUUGGAGUGGUAGUGAGAGGGACCACCGUAUCUGCCACUUGACAGAUCUAUAUAUCAUCUGGGUCCAAUGGAGAAGAAAAUAGAAGACAUAUCCAUGGAAGUCCUCAAGGAAAAAGAAAAGAAGCAAGGCUUCAGUGGAUGCCCAUGAAGCCCACAGACAGCAGGAGCUGCACAAAAGCCAGAGAGAUUUGGUGCGGAACUCUCUGCUACCUCUACAGCACCGUGUCUCCUGCAUGCUGAUGCGUCAUGCCAUGAAGAUAAUGGACUAAACCUCUGAAACUGAAUGUGGCAUUUGGAUUGUGUCUGAGGACAGUGAUGGCCCCAGUGGUGCAUGAAUGAAGCCGGCCAGGCCUCAUAACUUCAAAUUUCUCCAGUCAUUGCCACAAGGUCAAGGUGGCACACUGCUGAUGACACCAAGGCCUUGAAAAGACUUGUGCCACCAGGCAACUUCCCUGUCCUGGAAUUGCAGAUACCUAGGAUGAGUCAAACUGAAGUGGGCAUCAGGAAAGUGACAUUCAUAAGUGACUCACCAGGGAAGAAGAGACGCACAUUGGCUGCUGCUGCCUUUGAUAACGACUAUUUCUCAUCUACAUCCUGCUGUGUGUUCUGCUGUGUGUUCUUCAUGGGGUCCACUUGUUGGAUGCUUGGAUUAAAGGUGUGCACCACCACCACCCCACAUGCUCUGUUCUUCUGAAAUCCACUUCCUACUCAGGGUUCUCAUGGACAAAAAGGGCCAGUUCUGGAUUAAACUGAGAACUAGAAGCACACUCCAGACAUCCUGUGAAACAUGCCAACUUCACUUAUAUACAGUAUUGGGAAAGCAACAAAAAUGUUUCUGCUAAGGAUCAUAAUCCAAAACAUCCCACCUAGGCUGCCCUUCAAAUGGAAAAUGGGUUAUUGUUUUUCACUCCUAGUGAAGUAGAAAGUCCAGUGAUUUUGUUUGUUUGUUUUUUGAGACAGGGCUUCUCUUUAGCUUUGGAUCCUGAACUGGAACUCCCUCUGUAGACCAGGCUGGCCUGGAAUUCACAGAGAUCCACCUGCUUCUGCCUCUGGAGUGCUGGUAUUAAAGGCACAAGUCUCUGCUGCUGGGCUGGCCAGUGGUCUUUUAAAGAAUUUACAGAUUGAAACCUUCCUUCCCAAUAUGUUGAUCUGAGGUGAAUUUUUGGAAGGUGGGGAAGUUGUGAGGAUGGAGCCCUCUAGAAUGUGAUUAGUGGGAACACGAGAGCUGGCCUGUCUCCAUGGUGUGAUGAUAAAACAAGAAGGCAGAUUUGGAGAACCAGACCUAAAGUCUCCAGGCACCUUGAAUUUGAACUUUCAAGCCUCCAGAAUCUAAGAACAAACUAUUAACCUAAGAUAUAACAUGGCUUAGAAAAGUUAACACAGGGAGGAAAAAGGUAUACCCAAGAUUUUGAGUUUGCAUCAGAACAGACAUAGUUAUAUGAAAACAACAUAGUGGUUGGUGAAAGCAACCUUGGCACUUCCAGAGAGAGUGCCUUCCCAGUACUGGCUAUUCAUCUGUGACAUUGGUGCAAUUUUUAUUGCUUUUAUAGAAUUUUCAUAUAAUAAAGUCAGAAAAAAGUCCUUUGUUCAGAAUAAUUUUCUUUGAAAAUGCUCAUUUUAAAUAUAGUAAUAAUUCCAGAAUGAAUGUGGAAAUUGGAUGUUUUCCAAGUAAAAUAUCACCAUGUAACAGUUUUUCAUGGUCAUUCAAAAGCCACAGGGUGGGAAGAUGGGAGCCCUGAGCACAGCAGGUGCAAGAUCCACGUGGAGACCCACUCCCCAGUCCCCUGGGGUUUGGACACACCGACCUGACCUAGUGAUCCCAGCCAGCUGGGCCUUUUCCCAUACAACUGGGAAUAGGCUGGAAUCUCAUCCAACCAUUCUCAGGGGCAAAGCAGCUCACACACACUUGCAGAUCACACAAAGUGUUUGUGUUGGGUGACCUCCUUUCUGGAACCAUGUACUUUAAGAAGAGUUCUUAGGAUGAAUAUGCACCAAAUAUGCACCUAUUGGAGAGUUUUGUUUUGUUUUGUUUUGUUUUGUUUUGUUUUUUGCUAUGUUUCAAAUGGCUACAUUUUCUAUGACGCACAUUCUGUGUUAAUUGCAAAAGCUAUUACAUAAAAAAAUCUUAUGAAGAUAUAAAGAUUGCAUAACCAUUUAUUUAUGGUUUUCAAAUCAUCUACUUCUAUUGAAAAGAAUAAAAAUUAUAUGAAAUUGAAAGUCAUUUGGGAAAAUGCUAUGUUUAUAGUACACAGAGGCAAUUAAAAAU